GUUUAAUGCCGUGUUUAGCCAUUGGUCUCUUUCUUAUGUCUGGUCUUCACAAGAUAAGGUCACGGGUUGUUUUAUACGAGUAUCUUUCAUUUAUUUGCACCGUAAACUCAGUCCUUUGUCUGGACAAUUGUUCCUUUAUGAUCUAGUCAGGUCAUUACAACAGUAAAAUGCUCUAAACACACUUUGCUGUCCUGUUUUCCAAUCGUCCACAUGGCUGGGAGAACCUAUUCAAGUAGCUACCUAACAGCCAGAGAGGAGGGUGAAAGGAUAGCAGCCCCAACUGUGGAUAGAGCAGGUACUUUUGUGUAGUUCCAGUCCCUAGAAGUGAGAACCGAGAUAAUAGUAGUAUACUAUUCAGUGAGGUAUAAUGAAGUCUGUUUAUUGUGAGGUUUUCUGUCCUCGGUUACAGAGAGCUGUGAAAUCCUGUCUACUCAAAGGGGUGCACGUUUUUGCACUGCACAGCUGACACAAAUGAUCAACUCAUCAAGCUUCAAGUGGUAAUUAUGUAUUAAUUUGUGAUGCUGUCCUUGAUAUAGGCGGCAGGAUAGCCUAGUGGUUAGAAGUUUUGGACUCGUAUCCGAAAGGUUGUAAGAUUGAAUCCCUGAACUGACAAGGUAAAAAUCUGUCGUUCUGCACCUGAACAAGGCAGUUAACCCACUGUUCCUAGGCCGUCAUUGAAAAUAAGAAUUUGUUCUUAACUAGUCAAAUAAAAAUAGGAUCCUGCUAUUUACACAUGCAUCUAUCAAUCCAAUGUUAUCAUGAUUUGUUAUAAGGGAUAUUAUACUUUAGUAAGCCACAAUGACCUGGUGAUAUAAUGUCAAUAUUAGACUUAAAUUCCAUAUUCCUACGGAUACCUUGUAACUGGAGAUUCCUUCAAACCGAUUGCCUACAGUUAACAUGUAGGGCACUGCAAGGUUGGGUGACCAGGGCCAUCUGGGACUGCCUCCUGGAGGAAUUCAGGUGUGUGAAGGCUACCUGUGUCCUGCAUAACGUCAUGAGGAUGGACACGAGGACCAGGAGGAGGGGGGGGGUAUGUGUGCUGGAUUUCUUCACCACAUACUUUUUUGAGGAGGGUGCUGUUCCCUGGCAACACUGUAGACUACACUAUGCACAACCAAAGGCUCUUUUAAGAACCAUUCACAUUGCAGUAAGAGUAUUCUUCCAUUUACUUCGCUAUGUCAACUGCAGUUAUAUCAGUUUGAUCUCCAUCUCUUCAUUCAAAGACUCAAUCAUGGACACUCUUACUGAGUUGUUGCUGCUUUAUGUGAUGUAUUGUUGUCUUUACCUCCUUGACCUUUUGUGCUGUUUGUGCCCAAUAAUGUUUGUACCCUGUGCUCUUGUCAUAUUGUUACUACCAUGUUGUCAUGUUGAGUUGCUACCAUGUUGUCAUGUUGAGUUGCUACCAUGUUGUCAUGUUGAGUUGCUGCCAUGUUGUCAUGUUGAGUUGCUGCCAUGUUGUCAUGUUGAGUUGCUGCCAUGUUGUCAUGUUGAGUUGCUGC
ensembl:lncRNA